rnacentral:rRNA from 1 species
AUGGACACCUUGGUCCUUGGAGCUCGUCCCACCGACGGGCCGGCCACCUCUCUGUCGCCCUCGUGCUCCUCCGCGUUGAUCCGAACAACAGCGCAGCACCACCGCCGCCUUGGAGCUCUACCCGCCUCCGACCGGCCGCCUCUCCAUCAGCCUCGGGCUCCUCCACCUCGAUCUGUCUGCCCCGUCGCCGGAUUCACGCCGGAGCAGCCGGAUUUGCCGCCCCACUGCCUUGGAGCUCUUCCCGCCUCCGAUCGGCUGCCUCUCCGUCGGACUCGGGCUCCUCCACCUCGAUUUAUCCGUCCCGUCGCUGGAUCCACGCCGAAGCAGCCGGAUUUGCCGCCCCUUGUCUGUGCCGCCGUCGGGAGGAGGAGGUCGCUCAAGAGGAGCACCCGUUCGUCCGCAAUGUGGGCCACGCAACUGGCUCCAGCCCUACCGCAGCACGUUGUAGAUUGA